CAUUCUGAAAAGAAGGACUGUCUUCCCCUCCAGGCUCCAGGCCAAAUCUCCAAAUGAAAUCAGGCCGGGGAGAAAUGAACAACCGAGAUGCACAAAACAAUGUGAAGAAGAAACGAAUAAUAAUAUAAAAAAAAAGCCGGUGGUUGAAGCCCAAGAUGAGCCGUGGGAGGGGCUCAGGACAUGACACGAUGUGAGGGGUGGACUGCUGUGUGCCGACAGUGGUGAUGAUUGACAACAUCGAACAGCGUUCUGGACACCUUCCUCCUUCACAGUUCCAAAAGCACAUUUAUUUGCUGUGCCUCUCGCCCCCUGCCCUGCACUGCCUGGCGUGGGGUGCUGCCCACAGUGGGUGCUCAAUCAAUGCUGCAGGCUGAUUGGUGAUUGGCAUCAGCAGUUUUGACUCCACGCCGGGAGUCGAGUCUC